rnacentral:rRNA from 1 species
UACGGAGGGGGCUAGCGUUGUUCGGAAUUACUGGGCGUAAAGCGCACGUAGGCGGCUUUGUAAGUUAGAGGUGAAAGCCCGGGGCUCAACUCCGGAACUGCCUUUAAGACUGCAUCGCUAGAAUUGUGGAGAGGUGAGUGGAAUUCCGAGUGUAGAGGUGAAAUUCGUAGAUAUUCGGAAGAACACCAGUGGCGAAGGCGACUCACUGGACACAUAUUGACGCUGAGGUGCGAAAGCUAGGGGAGCAAACGGG